rnacentral:rRNA from 1 species
AACGAACGCUGGCGGCGUGCUUAACACAUGCAAGUCGAACGAUGAAGCCGGAGCUUGCUCUGGUGGAUUAGUGGCGAACGGGUGAGUAACACGUGAGUAACCUGCCCUUGACUCUGGGAUAAGCGUUGGAAACGACGUCUAAUACCGGAUACGAGCUUCAGUCGCAUGACUAGGAGCUGGAAAGAAUUUCGGUCAAGGAUGGACUCGCGGCCUAUCAGCUAGUUGGUGAGGUAACGGCUCACCAAGGCGACGACGGGUAGCCGGCCUGAGAGGGUGACCGGCCACACUGGGACUGAGACACGGCCCAGACUCCUACGGGAGGCAGCAGUGGGGAAUAUUGCACAAUGGGCGAAAGCCUGAUGCAGCAACGCCGCGUGAGGGACGACGGCCUUCGGGUUGUAAACCUCUUUUAGUAGGGAAGAAGCGAAAGUGACGGUACCUGCAGAAAAAGCACCGGCUAACUACGUGCCAGCAGCCGCAGUAACAC